GACGAACGCUGGCGGCGUGCUUAACACAUGCAAGUCGAACGGAAAGGCCCCAGCUUGCUGGGGUACUCGAGUGGCGAACGGGUGAGUAACACGUGGGUGAUCUGCCCUGCACUCUGGGAUAAGCCUGGGAAACUGGGUCUAAUACCGGAUAGGACCGUGCUUUAGUGUGUGCGGUGGAAAGUUUUUCGGUGCAGGAUGAGCCCGGGGCCUAUCAGCUUGUUGGUGGGGUAAUGGCCUACCAAGGCCGCGACGGGUAGCCGGCCUGGGAGGGUGUACGGCCACAUUGGGACUGAGACACGGCACAGACGCCUACGGGAGGCAGCAGGGGGGAAUAUUGCACAAUGGGCGCAAGCCUGAUGCAGAGACGCCGCGUGGGGGAUGACGGCCUGCGGGUUGUAAACCCCUUUCGGCAGGGACGAAGCUUUUGUGACGGUACCUGAAUAAGAAGCACCGGCUAACUACGUG
rnacentral:rRNA from 1 species